rnacentral:lncRNA from 12 species
GGAAGUCCUCCUUAACUUGUUACCUGAGAAUAAUUCGUACUGGAGGAAAAAGCUUCUGCAAGUGCAUCCACUUAAAAAUGCUGGCUGAAAUGUGGUCAGCCUGUAAGAGCUCCCUGUCUUCUGCCCCAUUUCACAGUUCUGUGAAAGGAGACUGCCUGCCUGCCUCAUCAAGUGGUGUCACAGGAUUGUGGUGGAUACGCAAACAUAAGAGAGAUACUGACAGUCUCACUGUGGUGAUAAUACUAACGUAUGUACAAAAUCAGCAAAUAAGCAAUAUCUUCCUAUGUGUUAAUUGUAUGGUUUACUAUAGAAUUUUUGAGUGAGAGAGAAGUAAUGUAUAGAUAAAAACUGAAAUAAUUAUGAAUGAUUGCACAAAGGAAAU